GAGUACGCUGAUUGGCUGAGGCAACGAAUCGAGCACCGUGAUUGGCUCAGGCCUGGAAAAGAGCGUUUGGGGAUCCUCAAUGUACAGGCCGCAGUAGUGCUACCGUUGGAAAAUUAACGAUAAUAAAUCACGACAGAUUCGCGGGGAUCCGAAACUCUUCAGCGCUCCGAAGGCAGUCGCGGAGCAGACACUCUCCUCCCAGAUGCCAGAGUCACAGAUUUGCUUCAUGUUUGUGAUGCUUUCACGUGACGGGAACUACUGUCAGAUGUGAAGUAUUGUGGAGCAGUCACAGAU